rnacentral:rRNA from 1 species
GACGAACGCUGGCGGCGUGCUUAACACAUGCAAGUCGAACGAUGAAGCUGGAGCUUGCUCUAGCGGAUUAGUGGCGAACGGGUGAGUAACACGUGAGCAAUCUGCCCUUGACUCUGGGAUAACUGCGGGAAACUGUAGCUAAUACCGGAUACUUUCACCGGGAGGCAUCGUCUGGGGAUGAAAGAAUUUCGGUCAAGGAUGAGCUCGCGGCCUCUCAGCUUGUUGGUGAGGUAACGGCUCACCAAGGCGACGGAGGGUAACCGGCCUGAGAGAGUGACCGGUCACACUGGGACUGAGACACGGCCCAGACUCCUACGGGAGGCAGCAGUGGGGAAUAUUGCACCAUGGGCGCAAGCCUGAUGCAGCAACGCCGCGUGAGGGAUGAAGGCCUUCGGGUUGUAAACCUCUUUUAGCAGGGAAGAAGCGAAAGUGACGGUACCUGCAGAAAAAGCACCGGCUAACUACGUGCCAGCCGCCGCAGUAA